rnacentral:rRNA from 1 species
GUGCCAGCAGCCGCGGUAAUACGUAGGGUGCGAGCGUUAAUCGGAAUUACUGGGCGUAAAGCGUGCGCAGGCGGUUUUGUAAGACAGGCGUGAAAUCCCCGGGCUCAACCUGGGAACUGCGCUUGUGACUGCAAGGCUAGAGUAUGGCAGAGGGGGGUGGAAUUCCACGUGUAGCAGUGAAAUGCGUAGAGAUGUGGAGGAACACCAAUGGCGAAGGCAGCCCCCUGGGCCAAUACUGACGCUCAUGCACGAAAGCGUGGGUAGCAAACAGGAUUAGAAACCCCCGUAGUCC